rnacentral:rRNA from 1 species
UACGAAGGGGGUUAGCGUUGCUCGGAAUUACUGGGCGUAAAGCGCACGUAGGCGGUCUUUUAAGUCGGGGGUGAAAUCCUGGAGCUCAACUCCAGAACUGCCUUCGAUACUGGAAGACUUGAGUCCGGGAGAGGUGAGUGGAACUGCGAGUGUAGAGGUGAAAUUCGUAGAUAUUCGCAAGAACACCAGUGGCGAAGGCGGCUCACUGGCCCGGUACUGACGCUGAGGUGCGAAAGCGUGGGGAGCAAACAGG